CGGGGUGCAGCAGGCGCGAAAACUUUACAAUGCUGGCAACAGCGAUAAGGGGACCUCGAGUGCCAGGAUACAAUCUUGGCUGUCGUGAUGCCUAAAAAGCAUUACAUAGCAAGGGCCGGGCAAGACCGGUGCCAGCCGCCGCGGUAACACCGGCGGCUCGAGUGGUAACCGCUAUUAUUGGGUCUAAGGGGUCUGUAGCCGGCCGGAUAAGUCUCUUGGGAAAUCCAGCAGCUCAACUGUUGGGCUUCCAGGGGAUACUGUUCGGCUCGAGGCCGGGAGAGGUGAGAGGUACUUCAGGGGUAGGGGUGAAAUCUUGUAAUCCUUGAAGGACCACCAGUGGCGAAGGCGUCUCACCAGAACGGUCCUGACGGCAAGGGACGAAAGCUAGGGGCACGAACCGGAUUAGAUACCCGGGUAGUCCUAGCCGUAAACGAUACUCGCUAGGUGUCAGCCACGGUGCGACCGUGGUUGGUGCCGUAGGGAAGCCGUGAAGCGAGCCACCUGGGAAGUACGGCCGCAAGGCUGAAACUUAAAGGAAUUGGCGGGGGAGCA
rnacentral:rRNA from 1 species